rnacentral:rRNA from 1 species
UACGUAGGGGGCAAGCGUUGUCCGGAAUGACUGGGCGUAAAGGGCGCGUAGGCGGCGAUCUAAGUUAGGAGUGAAAGUCCAGCUUUUAAGGUUGGAAUUGCUUUUAAUACUGGAUGGCUUGAGUGCGGAAGAGGUAAGUGGAAUUCCCAGUGUAGCGGUGAAAUGCGUAGAGAUUGGGAGGAACACCAGUGGCGAAGGCGACUUACUGGGCCGUAACUGACGCUGAGGCGCGAAAGCGUGGGGAGCGA